rnacentral:lncRNA from 1 species
GAUGACAUCACUUCUCAAAAUCAAAAUAUAUCCCAGAUGCUCCUCAACUUACAAUGGGGUUACUUCCCAAUAAACCCAUCGUAAAGUCAACCAUAAGUCAGAGACAGUCUCUAUAUAUUUUCUUGAUAAAUGGGAUACCCACCUCCCGGGUUCAAGUGAUUCUCCUGCCUCAGCCUCCUGAGUAGCUGGGACUACAGGCAUGCACCACCACACCCGGCUAAUUUUUGUAUUUUUUGUAGAGACAGAGUUUCAACAUGUUGGUCAGGCUGGUCUCGAACUCCCGACCUUGUGAUCCACCCACCUCGGCCUCCCAAAGUGCUGGAUUACAGGUGUGAGCCACCGCGCCCAGCCUCGCGAUUUCCAAGUUUUCAGUCACAUAGCAAUGCUACAAUAAACACCCUUGUGCACACAUUCUGGUACACAACAGCAGUUCCCCACCUUCUGAGUCCCAACUCAAGAGGUUCUUGUUUUCAGAUUUCAAGUUUCAGAUCUCCAAGGGGAACUAAUUCUCACAGGAACUGCUUUUUCUAGUCCUGCUCUAGGCUGGAAUGGGGUGAUGUGUAACCUAUUUUUGUGUUAAAAUCAAUUGACCUUGGGAACGUGAUAAUACAGGGAACUAAAAGCACUCACACUACUCAAAGCUUAUUAAAACCUCUUUAAAAAUCAAGAGGCAGGGGCCAGGCGCGGUGGCUCACGCCUGUAAUCCCAACACUUUGGGAGGCCGAGGCGGGCGGAUCACGAGAUCAGGAGAUCCAGACCAGCCUGGCUAACACGGUGAAACCCCGUCUCUACUAAAAACACAAAAAAUCAGCCGGGCGUGGUGGCGGGCACCUGUAGUCCCAGCUACUUGGGAGGCUGAGGCAGGAGAAUGACGUGAACCCGGGAGGCGGAGCUUGCAGUGAGACGAGAUCACGCCACUGCACUCCAGCCUGGGGGACAGAGCGAGACUCCGUCUCAAAAACAAAAAAAAAAGAGUGUUAUUUUUAAAAACUUUUUAAAGCUUAAAUUCCUCUUAUUAGAAUGCUAUACACACACAUUUAUACGUUUGAGAAAACAGUAGUCCAAAGCAAGAGCAGGAAAGGGAAAGAACAGUAGUAGUCAGCUAGACAUUUGGUUUUGUAUCCUUAACAUCUAUUCUGAGUGGAAAUUAAACCAAAUGAGCCUUUAACAUAAACGUUUGAAAGAGUAACAGCAUCUGGCCUGCUUCCUCCAUACAAUGAGGUGUCCAUCAUGUGACAUGGGGGAAAACAGCAGAUUUCUGGAAAAAUAAUUACCAAAUAAUGUUGUGCCAACAUCUUCUAGAAUAAUAAACUUCUUUUUCCUAUCAAGGUCCAUUGUUCAGGGACAUUUCCAUUACCUGACAACAGGAAAAAUUAUCUUUACUCUCAGAGUACAAAAACAUUCCUAAGAACAGAGAGCAACAACAUAACCUUCUGACUCAAGAUAGUCUCUGUUCCGGUAAUUUGAUGACAAAUAGUGUUGCUGAUCAGCAGAAUAUAGAGUGGAAAGGGCGGCUUUUUUGCACAUGCCUUCCCCUACCUUUGAAUUAGGAGCACUCUUCUAAAACUAGAAAUGCUUCACGAAGUCAGACAAAGUCUACAAAGUACUGCAAUACUUAAUACCCAUGAGGCACACUUCCAUAAGAAGAAAAUGAUAUGCAGGAAGGAUUAAACUGCCCAUUCUCACAAGAAACAUUCCAUGGGCAAAGGCACUAAGGUAGAUGUAUAGAUGUAGUCGGCAGGAUAAUGGUCCCAAAGAUAUACAUGUCCUAAUCACUGGAACCUGUGAACAUGUUAAAUUCCAUGGCAAAAGGGGAUUAAGAUUGCAGAUGGAAUUACAUCUCCUAAUCAGCCAACUUUAGAAGAGGGAGAUUAUCCUAGAGUAUCCAAGUGGGCACACGGAUUCUUCCAAAUGGAAGAGGGAGGCAGGACAAUCAGUGUCAGAGUGAUGAGAGGUGAGACUCAAUCAGCCACUGCUGGCUUUGAAGAUGCAGGAAGGAGCUAAGAGCCAAGGAGUGUGGGCAGCCUUUAGAAGCUGGAAAGGUAAGGAAGUAGAUCUUUCCCUAGAGCCUCCAGAAAGAAACACAACCCUGCUGAAAUACAUUUUGGCCCAGUGAGACCCAUUCCAGACUUCUGGCCUCCAAACUGUAAGAUAAUAAUGUAUAUUGUCUUAAGCCACUAAAUUUGUGAUAAUUUGUUAUGGCAGCAACAGGAAACUAAUACAAUGGAAAUGUCCGUCCGGCUGCUUUCUGGAUGUUUUUAAUCUCAAAAAAAGACUUUUGGCCAGGCACGGUGGCUCACGCCUGUAAUCCCAGCACUUUGGGAGGAAGAGGUAUGUGGAUCACCUGAGGUCAGGGGUUCGAGACCAGCCUGGCCAACGUGGUAAAACCCUGUCUCUACUAAAAAUACAAAAUUAGCCAGGAGUGGUGGCAUAUGCCUGUAGUCCCAGCUACUUGGGAGGCUGAGGCAGGAGAAUCGCUUAAACCUAGGAGGCAGAGGUUGCAGUGAGCCGAGGCCGUGCCAAAAAAAAAAAAAAGACUUUUAAUCCCUCUCAAGAUACACACAUUUAUAUACACAUUUGUCAAACACCUUAAUACUUCCUAGAAUAAAGUGGAUUCACACCACAAAUCACCUUACUGUAGGUUAUAGAGUAGUCCCUCCUUAUCCACAGGGGAUACUUUCCAAGACCCCCCACGGAUGCCUAGACCACAAAUAGUAGUGAACCCUAUAUACAACAUGUUUGUUCCUAUACAUACAUACCUAUGAUAAAAUUUAUAAAGUAGGCAGAGAUUAAUAAUAAACUAAUAAUAAAGAACAUUAUAAUAAAUAAUAAAGAACAAUAAGUUGUUCUAUAAAAUAUGCUGUAAUAAGAGUUACGUGAAUGUAGUCUCUCAAAAUAUUUCCUUGUACUAUACUCACAUAUUUUCAAACCACAGCUAACUGCAGAUAAUUGAAACCAUGGAAGGUGAAACCAUGGAUAAGGGGGAAAGUAUGCUAGCCUCCUCUUAAAGAAUUUAUUUGCUACACUCAUCUUUCAAACAUAGAAUAGGCCAGGCGCAGUGGCUCACGCCUGUAAUCCCAACACUUUGGAAGGCUGAGAUAGGCACAUCACUUGAGGUCAGGAGUUUGAGACCAGUCUGGCCAACAUGGCCAAACCCUGUCUCUACCAAAAAUAAAAAAAUUAGCCAGGCACAGUGGUGUGCGCCUGCAGUCCCAGCUACUCGGGAGGCUCAGGCAGGAGAAUCGCUUGAACCCGGGAGGCAGAGGUUGCAGUGAGCCGAGAUGGCGCCACUGCACUACAGCCUGGGCGACAGAGUGAGACUCCGUUUCAAAAAUAAAAUAAAAUAAAAUAAAAUAAUAAAAUAAAAUAAAAUAAAAAAUUAGCCGGGCAUGGUGGCGUGCGUAUGGUUCCAGCCACUCAAGAGGCUGACGUGAGCUACGAUCACGCCACUGUGCUCCAGCCUGGGUGACAGAGCGAGAUCUCGUCUCUUAAAAAAAAAAAAAAAAGAAAAAUGUCCCAUUAGUUAUUAAACUAGAAUUGGGUUCCAUUUGGCCACAGAGUUCUGCUUUAUUUGUACUUUGCUACCAAACCACAAAAGUUCACCACUUGUUCUAUUUGCCAUUCUUCCUUUUAAUUCCUCAUGAACAAACUUAAUAAAUUAACUACAGCAUGUCAAACAACCUUUUGCAACCCUUGCAAUUUCAAACUCUUGGAGGGAGGCACCCCUGGCCUGGGCCAGCAGCCUCAACGCGCGGGAGCGAAGGGAGCGGGACAGCGGCUCCGCUUGCCAAGUCCCCAGUCAGGGGAGGAGCGGCGUCCCCACCGCGGUGCCCCUCG